AGUGGGCUGAGGUUUCUCAAAAAGGCAGAGCUGUAAUCUAGAGAAGAUGAGACUGCUGGGUCUCCUCCUGUACCUGGUGACAGCCCCCCUGGGUGUCCUGUCCGAGGUUCAGCUGCAGGAGUCUGGCCCAGGACUGGUGAAGCCCUCACAGACCCUCUCCCUCACCUGCACUGUCUCUGGAUUCUCUUUAACAAGCAAUGGUGUUCACUGGGCUCGCCAGUCUCCAGGGAAGGGGCUGGAGUGGGUCGGUGCUAUAUGGGGUGGUGGAGGUACAUACUACAACCCAUCGCUGAAAUCCCGACUCAGCAUCACCAGGGACACCUCCAAGAGCCAAGUUUAUUUAACACUGAACAGUCUCACAACCAAGGACACAGCCAUGUAUUACUGUGCGAGAGACACAGUGAGGGGAAGUCAGUGUGACCCCAAACACAAACCUCCCUGCAUCCACAUCCAGAUGCAGCUGGUAGAGUUGUGGGCUGAGCUGAGGAAGCCUAGAACCUCAGUGAAGGUCUCCUGUAAGGCUUCUGGAUACACCUUCACCGACUAUUGGACGCACUGGGUAUGA